GCGAUCGCGGCCAGCCGGGGCCGACGCACCGAGCCGCCGCCCCUGUCACGCCGGGGCAGCGGUCGCCGAACGCUGCCCCGCGGCCCCCCCGCCUCCUCCUCCUCCUCCGCCCGCGGAGCCGCGGGCGACUCGCAGGCAAAAAUCCCUUUCAUGACCAAGGAAGGAGGCAACAACAUUUUUACAGUCUUGUGAAGCGCCUGUUACUAGAAAUUAUUUUCACUUUGUUCCUGAAAAGUAUGCCAAGUUUACUGGUGUUUGCUGGUGAUGUUACAAAUAGAUGCAGGUGUGGCAGGAGGGAGCAUGAGCUUUCCAAUGGAACAUGUGACAGCAGGGACCUGUUCCAGGAGUCUCAGCUGGGGCAUCUCUGGAGACUCUGGACUGGUGACUGAAAUUGUUUAGAAAAGACUAAUUAUGUGUGUGAAUUGCUGCUAUGCAUAAACCUGUGUCAAACUUGUUUGAAGUUCGUGAAAUGAUGGGAAGCUGUCCUGCAGCCUGUGAGAAGGGUGCUUUCCUAGCAUCAAAGUGAGGACACAGAACAAUAAUCAAGUGGAUGAAAUCUGAAUUCCAAGCUUUCAAGUGAAGAGAAACAAAGACAGUUGUUUGAGACCUAAGAAACCAGGAAGAGAGCUUCAGAUUACGGUUGCUACUGAACGCAUCCGAAAGAGGUGGGACCACGCAGAUCUAAGUGACAUUGCCAUGCUGACAGCAGAGAGGAAACCAGUCCUGGACAAGAUGGAACUCAAAGAACUUUUUCUCUGCAGAACACCCUCUGAAAGAAA